rnacentral:rRNA from 1 species
AACCUGUCAUCAAGUGGGGGAUAACGCUGGGAAACCGGCGCUAAUACCGCAUACGGUCGCAGCAAUGCGAAGAAAGCUUUCCGCGCAAGUGGAAGGCGCUGGAUGAGGGGCCUGCGUCCGAUUAGCUAGUUGGUGGGGUAAAGGCCUACCAAGGCAUCGAUCGGUAGCUGGUCUGAGAGGAUGGUCAGCCACACUGGGACUGAGAUACGGCCCAG